rnacentral:lncRNA from 1 species
GGUUCCCCCAUAGGAUCUUCAGGGAGCUGCAGUGACACCAGAGGAGGGCUACUGGAAAUGGCACCAGGACAUCAUAUUCGGUGCUACCUUGAAGAUGGGAUAAAGAUGGACACAAAGGUGAACCUGGCCUUGUUGUGGAUGAAUAUUGAAGAUAUGCUCAAGAGGAGAGAGAAGCCAGCAGGGGUGCACAUGAGGGGGUGAUUCUGAGUAGGAUGGAGGCUGAGGCAGCUUGCCUGCACCCUGUGUGGGUAGGAGACCCCCCCAAAACACACACACACACACAUCUCCCUUGACUGAUCCUGCCUCACAUCUAAGCAUCUUUGGAUGAUUCUGUUCCUUCUCACAUACCAGUUCUGGACAGGCUGUGGACAAACUGCCCAUCACCUAUGUGAAGCUGUGCACACCUCCACAAUAGGGUCACACAAUGAAGGAACAGUUACUUACGAAAAGAGAAGAAGACUCAUGAGGCAGGUGUUGGAGUAAAUCAUCAGAAGACAAGCUACACGAGGGAAGCCUGCAGUCUCUGCGGCAAUGGCUCCGUGCUGCCCAGGGGCUAGCUCAUGGUCUGGCUGGCUCUUUCUUCCUCAUUCCUUUGUUCUGACUCAACAUAAAUGGACUGGC